rnacentral:rRNA from 1 species
GAUGAACGCUGGCGGCGUGCCUAAUACAUGCAAGUAGAACGCUGAAGGAAGGAGCUUGCUCUUUCCGGAUGAGUUGCGAACGGGUGAGUAACGCGUAGGUAACCUGCCUGGUAGCGGGGGAUAACUAUUGGAAACGAUAGCUAAUACCGCAUAACAGUAGAUGUUGCAUGAUAUCUACUUAAAAGGUGCAAUUGCACCACUACCAGAUGGACCUGCGUUGUAUUAGCUAGUUGGUGAGGUAACGGCUCACCAAGGCGACGAUACAUAGCCGACCUGAGAGGGUGAUCGGCCACACUGGGACUGAGACACGGCCCAGACUCCUACGGGAGGCAGCAGUAGGGAAUCUUCGGCAAUGGACGGAAGUCUGACCGAGCAACGCCGCGUGAGUGAAGAAGGUUUUCGGAUCGUAAAGCUCUGUUGUAAGAGAAGAACGAGUGUGAGAGUGGAAAGUUCACACUGUGACGGAAUCUUACCAGAAAGGGACGGCUAACUACGUG